GUAGGUGAACCUGCGGAAGGAUCAUUACCGAGUCAGGGUCCUCUGGGCCCGACCUCCUACCCUUUGUCUACCUUACCCUCUGUUGCUUCGGCGGAUCCGUCCUCUCGGGGACCGCUGGAGAGCUCGACUCUCUGGCCCGUGUCCGCCGCUAGCCAACAACCAAAACUCUUGUUUAAACGUGUCGUCUAAGUAUAUAAACAAAUAAGUAAAAACUUUCAACAACGGAUCUCUUGGUUCUGGCAUCGAUGAA
rnacentral:misc_RNA from 1 species